rnacentral:rRNA from 1 species
AUUGAACGCUGGCGGCAGGCUUAACACAUGCAAGUCGAGCGGAGCGAGGGUGCUUGCACCUUAGCUUAGCGGCGGACGGGUGAGUAAUGCUUAGGAAUCUGCCUAUUAGUGGGGGACAACAUUCCGAAAGGAAUGCUAAUACCGCAUACGCCCUACGGGGGAAAGCAGGGGAUCUUCGGACCUUGCGCUAAUAGAUGAGCCUAAGUCGGAUUAGCUAGUUGGUGGGGUGAAGGCCUACCAAGGCGACGAUCUGUAGCGGGUCUGAGAGGAUGAUCCGCCACACUGGGACUGGGACACGGCCCAGACGCCUACGGGAGGCAGCAGUGGGGAAUAUUGGACAAUGGGCGGAAGCCUGAUCCAGCCAUGCCGCGUGUGUGAAGAAGGCCUUUUGGUUGUAAAGCACUUUAAGCGAGGAGGAGGCUCUUAAGGUUAAUACCCUUGAUGAGUGGACGUUACUCGCAGAAUAAGCACCGGCUAACUCUGUGCCAGCCGCCGCAGUAACAC